GCCCUUAGAGUUUGAUCAUGGCUCAGGAUGAACGCUAGCUACAGGCUUAACACAUGCAAGUCGAGGGGCAGCAUUUUAGUUUGCUUGCAAACUAAAGAUGGCGACCGGCGCACGGGUGAGUAACACGUAUCCAACCUGCCGAUAACUCGGGGAUAGCCUUUCGAAAGAAAGAUUAAUAUCCGAUAGUAUAUUAAAACCGCAUGGUUUUACUAUUAAAGAAUUUCGGUUAUCGAUGGGGAUGCGUUCCAUUAGUUUGUUGGCGGGGUAACGGCCCACCAAGACUACGAUGGAUAGGGGUUCUGAGAGGAAGGUCCCCCACAUUGGAACUGAGACACGGUCCAAACUCCUACGGGAGGCAGCAGUGAGGAAUAUUGGUCAAUGGACGAGAGUCUGAACCAGCCAAGUAGCGUGAAGGAUGACUGCCCUAUGGGUUGUAAACUUCUUUUAUAUGGGAAUAAAGUAUUCCACGUGUGGGAUUUUGUAUGUACCAUAUGAAUAAGGAUCGGCUAACUCCGUGCCAGCAGCCGCGGUAAUACGGAGGAUCCGAGCGUUAUCCGGAUUUAUUGGGUUUAAAGGGAGCGUAGGUGGAUUGUUAAGUCAGUUGUGAAAGUUUGCGGCUCAACCGUAAAAUUGCAGUUGAAACUGGCAGUCUUGAGUACAGUAGAGGUGGGCGGAAUUCGUGGUGUAGCGGUGAAAUGCUUAGAUAUCACGAAGAACUCCGAUUGCGAAGGCAGCUCACUAGACUGCAACUGACACUGAUGCUCGAAAGUGUGGGUAUCAAACAGGAUUAGAUACCCUGGUAGUCCACACAGUAAACGAUGAAUACUCGCUGUUUGCGAUAUACAGUAAGCGGCC
rnacentral:rRNA from 1 species